UACGAAGGGGGCGAGCGUUGUUCGGAAUUACUGGGCGUAAAGGGCGCGUAGGCGGCCGAUCAAGUCAGAUGUGAAAGUCCUGGGCUUAACUUGGGAACUGCGUCUGAUACUGGGAGGCUUGAGUGCGGGAGAGGGAUGUGGAAUUCCAGGUGUAGCGGUGAAAUGCGUAGAUAUCUGGAGGAACACCGGUGGCGAAGGCGGCAUCCUGGACCGACACUGACGCUGAGGCGCGAAAGCCAGGGGAGCAAACGGG
rnacentral:rRNA from 1 species